UGCGGCGUCCGCGGGAUCCCCUGCUAAGUGCAGCCGUCCGCGAUAGCCCCGCCUCCUCAGUUUUCCCUCACGGAGGGUAGAGUUGGGCGGUCUGUGCACAACUAGUCGAAUGAUGGCCAUUUUGACCCUGAACUGAUGAUCGUCGGCUCUCCCUCACCAGCGCUGCGCGCGUGCGGCGGAGAGUCGGCCAGCUGCGGCGCCCCGAGUACCCCACGGACGGCUCACGGGCGUCGGUUGGGUUUUCGGUGCGCCAGCGUGCUAUGCGGAUGCGGUGUAUCGGAUGGCGGCGUUGGGGCGUGUUGGGCCCCUGCGUCCGAUGGUGCGCGUGUGGCCUUCGGGCGGCGGCGCGGGCGCGGCGCUUGCGCGCGAGCCCUGCCGCCGCGCGAAGGCCGGCGCGCGAGAUUCUGGAACGAUCGUCGGCGUUGGGCCAUUCGGUGCCGCCUGCGCCGCGAGGCGCGGUCGGUGCUGUGCGGCCCCGCGCGGGCGUCGUGCGGAGGAAUGCUACCUGGUUGAUC
rnacentral:misc_RNA from 1 species